AUUGAACGCUGGCGGCAGGCCUAACACAUGCAAGUCGAGCGAGCGGCGGACGGGCGAGUAAUGCCUAGGAAUCUGCCUGGUAGUGGGGUAUAACGUCCGGAAACGGUCGCUAAUACCGCAUACCAUCUGCUGUUCACAGAUGGGAUUAUCUUGUUGGUGGGGUAAGGGCUCACCAAGGCCACGAUCCCUAGCUGGUGUGAGAGGAUGACCAGCCACACUGUAACUGAGACACGGUCCAGACUCCUACGUGAGGCAGCAGUGGGGUAGAUUGCACAAUGGGCGCAAGCCUGAUGCAGCCAUGCCGCGUGUAUGAAGAUGGCCUUCGGGUUGUAAAGUACUUUCAGCGGGGAAGCGUUACCCGCAGAAGAAGCACCGGCUAACUCCGUGCCAGCAGCCGCGGUAAUUC
rnacentral:rRNA from 1 species